rnacentral:tRNA from 1 species
UGGCCCAUAGCUCAGUCGGGUAGAGCGCGAGACGGUGACUCUCGACGUCGGAGGUUCGAAUCCUCCUGGACCAG